UUGAUAGUAAUCAGAGUUAAAGUACAAAUUUGGUAGGAAUUCAAUAACUCUAUGCAAGGGGAAGUGUUGUUAUUGUGAAUGCUGCAGAGAGUGCAAGCGAUAGAAGAAAAAAACAGUUUCAGUCCAGGCAAGCUCUGCAGUUCCUAGUAACUUUAAUGUGAAGAGACAAAUCCUUUAUAUUUUAGGACAUGCCAUAUGAAUCAAACUUGAACCCACCUUGUCAGAUAUGCUGAUGGUAGGUUUUGGUUCCCAAACAAAGGAGUCUAUUUUGUUGUUGUUGAUUGUGUCCUUAUUGAGAAUUUAGUGGAAUUGAAAGAGAAUACUAAAAUUCCUUAUAUAUAAAAACAACAGAUGAAGUGGGGGGAAGCCCCUUUGAUAUCUUGAGAACUCAAUGUAUUGGUACUAAAUUCAUAAAUUUACCAUGGCUUACUC